GCCUUCCACUUUCUUCUCUUCCUCGUUUUUCUUCUUCGCGGGCUCGUCCUCAUCCUCGUCCGCUUCCUCGUCACCCGCCUUAGCGGCAGCAGGCUCCCCGGGCGGCGAAUCCUUGUCUCCCGCCACGAAGCAGGUAAUGUUUCGGUAAGCGACGGGGGAGUAGAGAGCCAGCGUCCGCGGGUACCGCACCACAGCCUUGGGACUUCCAUUUUCACCGGACGUCACAGAACUCUCUGAGGACUUUUUGCGCCGGAAGUCUCGCUUCAUGGCGACGAGGGUUCGCGGUCCGAGCGAGCACUGCACAGUGGCGUCCCGUUUGGGGUUGACCUGCACGGCCACGUCCUUGGUGUUUGCCUUGCGGAGUCUCGGCGUGAGCUUGGGAUUGAUCUGAGACAGGAUGGACUUGAGCUGGGCCCGCUGCUGGUUGUUGAAUGCCUCGGAGGCGUUGCCAUAGUGGGACAGGCGUCGGGUCUGGCGGGCAGGGGUCCAGCAUGAUGGUGUUCGGGUCGCUCACCGUCACCGCCCCAUAUGAAGCGUCAAAGUCGACGUCCUCAUCCUGGAAGCGCUGAUACGUGAUAUCCGUGUCUUCGCCGUCCCGGCGGGCCGGCGGCUCUUCCUUGCCCAACACCCGCCUGCGGUACGUCCGGUACGCCAGGAUGAAGACGCCCGCCUCGGCCGCCUGGAAGAGCGCGUAGAGCAGCGGGAACAUGUACAUGCCGCCCAUCAGCUGCGGUGGAAAGGCCAGCUUGAGGAUGGCGGUGCACAGCUGCACGUUCUGGCAGCCCGUCUCCAGUGAGACGGCGCGGCGGCUGUUGGGCGGCAGUUGGAACAGCACGGCCAGGCCGUAGCCCGCCGCGUAGCCGCACAUGGGCAUCAGCAGGGCCACGACGUAGACGGACGGCGGAAUGGCCGACAACAGUUCGGGGCCCAGCAUGGCUGCCGUCAGGAUGAAGAGCAGCACCAGGGUGAUGAGCAGAGACCACAGAGACGCCUGAAGAGACACCAGAGCCGCAUCAGACGCCGGCCUGCCGCUAUCAGGCGCCGACAUCGCGCACAGGAAAUAAAAGCAGUGACGUCUCGCCGAGGAAAAGACGGACGGGAACAAGACGAAGAGGAGGAGGAGGAAGAGGGUGACUCUUCAAACGCAGCAAGCGACAGGUGGCCUAAGCAUGAACCCUACAAGGACUACGAUGUGAGGUCGGAGCACAAAAGAAGAGACAGCUGCAACUGCAAUUUCUUGUUAGGUGAGACUUUGGAUCUGGAGGCACUCCUCUUCCCGCUGCCGCCAUUCUGGACUCUCCACCAACACCUGCUGCACAUGUGCUAGGAAAUAAAGACAGGACAUUUUAAAUGAACAAGACAGCAGAGAAAGUGACAGGCUCACCUUCUCGUUGCCGGUGGUCCAGGGAGCCUCCCUCACUACGAAACCUUUAGAGGGGCCGCGAUUCUCAUCAGCGGCCGCGUGGCUGCCCCCCGAGGGCCUCAUGUACGCCAUUUUUGCCUCAUUCUCAACCACGUCUG